rnacentral:rRNA from 1 species
GUCUUUUUGAGUUAUUUUUAAAGUCUGACCUGCCCACUGAAUAUUUUUAAAUGGCCGCAGUAUUCUAACUGUGCAAAGGUAGCAUAAUCAUUAGUCUUUUAAUUGAAGGCUGGUAUGAACGGUUGGACGAAGUAUAAGCUGUUUCAUAUAAAAUUAUAUUAGAAUUUUAUAUUUUAGUUAAAAAGCUAAAAUUUUAUUAAAAGACGAGAAGACCCUAUAAAUCUUUAUAUUUAAUAUUAAUUGAAUUUUUUUGAUUUAUUUUAUUUUUUUAAUUUUAAAUAUUUUGUUGGGGUGAUAUUAAAAUUUAAUGAACUUUUAAUUAUUUAUUAAAUCAUUAAUUUAUGAAUAGUUGAUCCAUUAAUAAUGAUUAUAAGAUUAAGUUACUUUAGGGAUAACAGCGUAAUUUUUUUUGAGAGUUCAUAUCGAUAAAAAAGUUUGCGACCUCGAUGUUGGAUUAAGAUAUAUUUUUAGGUGUAGCCGCUUAAAUAUUGAGUCUGUUCGACUUUUAAUUUCUU